rnacentral:rRNA from 1 species
CACGUAGGGUGCGAGCGUUGUCCGGAAUUAUUGGGCGUAAAGAGCUCGUAGGCGGUGUGUCGCGUCGGCCGUGAAAACCUGCAGCUUAACUGUGGGCGUGCGGUCGAUACGGGCAUCACUGGAGUUCGGCAGGGGAGACUGGAAUUCCUGGUGUAGCGGUGAAAUGCGCAGAUAUCGGGAAGAACACCAAUGGCGAAGGCAGCUCUCUGGGACGGUACUGACGCUGAGACGCGAAAGCGUGGGGAGCGAACAGG